UACGAAGGGGGCUAGCGUUGCUCGGAAUUACUGGGCGUAAAGGGCGCGUAGGCGGCACUGUUAGUCAGGCGUGAAAGUCCUGGGCUCAACCUGGGAACUGCGCUUGAUACGGCAGAGCUAGAGGAUGGAACAGGCUCGCGGAAUUCCCAGUGUAGAGGUGAAAUUCGUAGAUAUUGGGAAGAACACCGGUGGCGAAGGCGGCGAGCUGGUCCAUUACUGACGCUGAGGCGCGACAGCGUGGGGAGCAAACAGG
rnacentral:rRNA from 1 species